GUAAAUACACAUAAUAAUACAUAAAAUGUAAUUGAUUAUUCCAAUAACCAAAGUCACAAGGUUUACAAUCACAGGUUGAAGCAAUUCAACACACACAAACAACAGACUUAAAACACACUUCUUAAUUAGGUUGGUACGUAGGUAGGGAUAGCUGAUGAUCAGUUCUUAUUAUUCUCAGUUUCUGCAUCACACUAGCACGUACAGCUGAGAUAGGUAAUCAUUUCAUAUAUAUAUCGAGAAGCAUGCACACACAAAUAAUAGCUUGCUGAUCAAUAGUAGUUCUUCAGGCAAGGUGGAGGUGGUGGACGUGUGACUUCUUCUCCGCCGGCGGAGUUGGAGACUCCUGCUGGUGGCUGCUGCUGCCGGGAGAGAAAGGGAUGUUUGUCACUGACGUCGGAGGAGGAUGAUCCAUCAUUUCAUUUGGAGCAAAGAAGUUGCGAGACGCAGCCAGUGCGUGGAUUGCAUUCAGCU
rnacentral:lncRNA from 1 species